ACGAAGGGGGCUAGCGUUGCUCGGAAUCACUGGGCGUAAAGCGCACGUAGGCGGACUCUUAAGUCGGUGGUGAAAUCCUGGAGCUCAACUCCAGAACUGCCUUCGAUACUGGGAGUCUCGAGUUCGGGAGAGGUGAGUGGAACUGCGAGUGUAGAGGUGAAAUUCGUAGAUAUUCGCAAGAACACCAGUGGCGAAGGCGGCUUGCUGGAUCUUUGCUGACACUGAGACGCGAAAGCGUGGGGAGCAAACAGGA
rnacentral:rRNA from 1 species